rnacentral:rRNA from 1 species
ACGGGUGAGUAACGCGUGGGUAACCUACCCUGUACACACGGAUAACAUACCGAAAGGUAUGCUAAUACGGGAUAAUAUAUUUGAGAGGCAUCUCUUAAAUAUCAAAGGUGAGCCAGUACAGGAUGGACCCGCGUCUGAUUAGCUAGUUGGUAAGGUAACGGCUUACCAAGGCGACGAUCAGUAGCCGACCUGAGAGGGUGAUCGGCCACAUUGGAACUGAGACACGGUCCAAACUCCUACGGGAGGCAGCAGUGGGGAAUAUUGCACAAUGGGCGAAAGCCUGAUGCAGCAACGCCGCGUGAGUGAUGAAGGCCUUCGGGUCGUAAAACUCUGUCCUCAAGGAAGAUAAUGACGGUACUUGAGGAGGAAGCCCCGGCUAACUACGUGCCAGCAGCCGCGGUAAUACGUAGGGGGCUAGCGUUAUCCGGAUUUACUGGGCGUAAAGGGUGCGUAGGCGGUCUUUCAAGUCAGGAGUGAAAGGCUACGGCUCAACCGUAAUAAGCUCUUGAAACUGGGAGACUUGAGUGCAGGAGAGGAGAGUGGAAUUCCUAGUGUAGCGGUGAAAUGCGUAGAUAUUAGGAGGAACACCAGUUGCGAAGGCGGCUCUCUGGACGGUAACUGACGCUGAGGCACGAAAGCGUGGGGAGCAAACAGGAUUAGAUACCCUGGUAGUCCACGCUGUAAA